rnacentral:rRNA from 1 species
UGGGGAAUCUUCCGCAAUGGACGAAAGUCUGACGGAGCAACGCCGCGUGAGUGAAGACGGCCUUCGGGUUGUAAAGCUCUGUGAUCCGGGACGAAAGAGCCUGAGGUGAAUAGCCUAAGGAAGUGACGGUACCGGAAAAGCAAGCCACGGCUAACUACGUGCCAGCAGCCGCGGUAAUACGUAGGUGGCAAGCGUUGUCCGGAAUUAUUGGGCGUAAAGCGCGCGCAGGCGGCUUCCUAAGUCCAUCUUAAAAGUGCGGGGCUUAACCCCGUGAUGGGAUGGAAACUGGGAAGCUGGAGUAUCGGAGAGGAAAGUGGAAUUCCUAGUGUGCGGUGAAAUGCGUAGAGAUUAGGAAGAACACCGGUGGCGAAGGCGACUUUCUGGACGAAAACUGACGCUGAGGCGCGAAAGCGUGGGGAGCAAACAGG